AUGAACAUACUACCAAAUGCCCACACAGCUGCUGCAAUCAUCAAUCAACCAGAUGUUGAUACGGCAGUGCAUCAGCGUUGUUUACACCAUAGUUUUCAGUUGCUGCUGUUAGUUGUCAUAUCUGAUGAUAUGAUACAGCUUACAAUAUAUAUAUACUUUCUGUUGGAAAGCCAGGUUCGCUCCUUACAAAAUCUGAUGGCAGAACACUCAGCACAGAUCAGCAUUGCAAUACCUAACAAAGCCCUGAGACUAGGAUUAUUAUUCCUCUGCAUGAUUGAAAUGGACGGAGCAUUGCAUGAGCUCGUCACAGACGUGGGUCAUGACAAAGUUAAGACGCUGCACAUAUUCAUACACUGA
rnacentral:rRNA from 1 species